rnacentral:lncRNA from 1 species
CACAUACAUAUUCGCAUAUAUAUAAACUAACAUAUAUAUAUAUAUAUAUGUAUGUAUCUUACUGCCAAUUCCCGAUUUGUACCCAAUUCGCAAAGUGGCUGGCCACUUCUAGAUUUGGGCGAAGCCCGAAAUAUACGUGAAUUUACGACUAUUUUCGCUUUGGCCGGCCAAUUCCCGAUGCGGCCAACAAUCAAUGGCCAAUCCGAGAAUUGUCUAUUACGUCGUACAAUACUGACGGAAGAUAUUAUGGAACCAUACAGGUAAAAAAAUGAAAUGCCAUAUUUAUGAACAAUUCUAGCCAAGACAGU